rnacentral:lncRNA from 1 species
CUUGGUUACAGCUUUUCGGGACCCCUCCUGGAGAGGCCUGAGACUCCUAGGGCUGGAAAGAGAAGAAAGAGAGAGACAGGGGAAGAGGGAGGAAGGGAAGGGUAAGCAUCUCUCUAGCGGCCGAGUCUUGAAGGUGAGGACUAGGACUUUAUGAGAGCCACCAAAACCGUGAAGGUCUGGGUGGGGUGAUGUUCAGUUCUCUUUCUUGUGUUCCUGGAGAUUACACAGUCCUUUGAAGGAGACCUACAAAGCCUAUGCUGGUAAACUACCAGCUGGGAAGGGAAGGGAAUAAUUUUGAACCCAGGAGUCUAAUCUGCCCUAGGAAGGCAUCUCUGAGGGCCACUGUGGCCUUGAAGGCUGUGGUGGGGUGCUCCCUCCCUGCAGGUGGGCAAAGAGGUUUGCCGGACAAUCAACGGCCAAAUCCUCCUGACACCACCAUUGGGUUUAGGGCUCCAGGAAGCGGAAACUCACCAAUCGAAGGCCGGUGGUGGAUGGAGUUCUGGCUGUCGAGAAAAUGGGUUCAGGCCGUCCGGUGAGUGGCACUUCUGAAGGAAGAGGGACCCAAAAGUGGGUUUAAUCCCUCUCCCGGGUUUUGGCACCAAUGAAAGAAAAGUGACCACAACACCCAGAGCAACCAAGAGAUCUUUAUUGCAGCAGUGCAACAGAGGAGAAAAGAAAGAAAAAGAGAGAGAGAGAGAGAGAGAGAGAGAGAGAGAGAGAGAGGGGAAGCACGUGCAAG